GAUGAACGCUGGCGGCGUGCCUAAUACAUGCAAGUCGAGCGAACAGACGAGGAGCUUGCUCCUCUGACGUUAGCGGCGGACGGGUGAGUAACACGUGGAUAACCUACCUAUAAGACUGGGAUAACUUCGGGAAACCGGAGCUAAUACCGGAUAAUAUAUUGAACCGCAUGGUUCAAUAGUGAAAGACGGUUUUGCCGUCACUUAUAGAUGGAUCCGCGCCGCAUUAGCUAGUUGGUAAGGUAACGGCUUACCAAGGCAACGAUGCGUAGCCGACCUGAGAGGGUGAUCGGCCACACUGGAACUGAGACACGGUCCAGACUCCUACGGGAGGCAGCAGUAGGGAAUCUUCCGCAAUGGGCGAAAGCUUGACGGAGCAACGCCGCGUGAGUGAUGAAGGUCUUCGGAUCGUAAAACUCUGUUAUUAGGGAAGAACAAAUGUGUAAGUAACUAUGCACGUCUUGACGGUACCGAAUCAGAAAGCCACGGCUAACUACGU
rnacentral:rRNA from 1 species